rnacentral:misc_RNA from 1 species
GGGCAAUUUUCGGAAAUGUAGACCGUAAAGGUGCAUGAGUGGUCAUUGGUUCGUUACAGGUGGUUGGCUCUUUGCUUGCGCAACAACUUCCACCUGGCUUACCUCUUCAUUUAUUUGUUAAGGUCUCCUAGGCUUUAACGAAUUGCGGGUUUCCUGUGUUGUCUACCAAUAUGAUGGUAUUGUUCUUGGCCGAUCUAUGUUACUUUUUGUCCUGCCAUAAAUGUGGCAUAAGAUGAACAAGAUUUGCUUGCUCUUUUAACCACUUCGUUUAUGUCUACAUUGAUGUUGUGGCUAAUCGAGCAUUGCUUGGUAUCAUGGAUAUAGAACCUAUGUGGGCAUUGGAUCUUAAGGAUCUCUGUUUUGCUCUCAAUGAGUUGUUAUGCUUCUAAAAAUGACUUCUUGCAAUGUUUGGGCUUUGUACCGACAUGCGAGUUUGUCAAUGAGGAAUGCUACCUGG